CGAACGGGGAGAUUCAUCGUCAGCGGACGCCGGCUUCGCGUCGGUCGGCGAUGUCCCGCGGGGGCCCUCGCGGCUCUCAGCGCGGGCACGCUGCCGUGCGCCGAUGUAUCCGGCUUCGCCGUCGUGCACUUCUCCCCUGGUAGAACGUCGCGACCCGCUGGGUGUCGGUCUACGGCCCGGGUGCGGUGUCUGACGCGCCGCCGGUAAAACGGCGCGCGUCAAACCCCCGGUCGCCCGGCCGGCUGCCCGGCGGUACGCGCAAGGUAUCAGGCCGCACACACAUUUGAACGGUGCGUCGAGGCCGUCGCAAGCGCGCGCCACGGUACACGGAGGUACGGACCUAGCGCCGUCACCGGUCCUGGCCCGCUGUUGGUCGUACGGUUAACCUUCGACAGGCCUACGAACGUCCCAGCGUGGGGGUGUCGGGGGCUCGUCUCCCGCGCGCUCUCGCGUUGGC
rnacentral:rRNA from 1 species